UACGAAGGGGGCUAGCGUUGCUCGGAAUCACUGGGCGUAAAGCGCACGUAGGCGGCUUUUUAAGUCAGGGGUGAAAUCCUGGAGCUCAACUCCAGAACUGCCUUUGAUACUGGGAGCUCGAGUCCGGGAGAGGUGAGUGGAACUCCGAGUGUAGAGGUGAAAUUCGUAGAUAUUCGGAAGAACACCAGUGGCGAAGGCGGCUCACUGGCCCGGUACUGACGCUGAGGUGCGAAGGCGUGGGGAGCGAACGGG
rnacentral:rRNA from 1 species